GCCACUAGAAUCAUGCCAAAAAGAUACUCUUCAGAUAUCUCAUAACUUAAGAUUUAAUUUUGGGCUCCAACAUAUGAAAAAAUCAAACCCUAGGGCACACUAGCAACACUUGCUAAUUCUCUCACCACCCUUCUUACAAAUUUUGCCACUCAAUUUUUCUUUGUCUUUUUUUCAGAUUUUUUCCAAAUUUUUUCUUUUGAUUUACACACCACUUAUCUCUAGUUUCCAUCCAAAAACCUAGUACUUGGGCCAUA
rnacentral:lncRNA from 1 species